AAUAGUCAAACAAAUUAGCAAUGGGGCCACCAAGAGGGUACAUUCAACCCUAAUGCAGAAAUGUCUCCAUUUAUCAGUUUUCUGCCAAUCAUUAAAACAAGAAAGAUGAAACUCACAAUUAUGUACAAGGAGACAGAACUCUUAAUUCUUUCAUCCUAGCUGAAGCAGAAGAAUUUUAAUUGCUUGGAAAAAUAAGAUUUUUGUUUU
rnacentral:lncRNA from 1 species